AACAUUGUGGCAAAGGGGAGAAAAACCACCAUCAUCACAGAGCUGAUGGUUUCCCUAAGGGAUGCACAAACAAUGAGAUUCCUACCACACACAGAGAUGAGACAGAAGGUCACCGAGUACAAACUGUGCAAGCUAAAGGGAAAAAAAUCACUCCACAACUAAGAGCAUCAUUGCCUUUUUUGUUAGUCUGCUGUACUUCUUUAAUAUAUCUUUCAUGCAGUAAAUGCUAUUGAUGUCUA